AAAGAGGCGCUGGAAGCUCGGUCACAUGAUUCAAUCAUAACAAACGCGGACAUUGGGUCAGUUUACUGUAAAACCAUAUACAUCCACCGAAAAACAACAAAGAGUUAUUGGGAUAUUUAACAAGGGCGUCUUCGCGGGUCAUCGACUGGAUUAUUUAUAAAUGGGAUUGGAUUUACCACAGAAACGGACGCGUAGAUCUGGUUCUUUACACAUCAGGAUUCACACCUUCAGUAAAGCCACUCGAUCACAUCAGUUCACCAAUACAUGCUGUGAUUAUUUCCAUCAUUCUAUAUGUGAAGAAGACCCUCCAGUCGAGCAGAAAUAAUUCCAGGUGUAACCUCUGAACUCUGCAUGACAUAAUAUUGUAAAGAUGGAUGUUGUUGAACAAAAGGAGAGUGAGAACAUGAGUGAUCCAGAACCAUGCAGAAUAGAAAACGAAGAUCCUGACGAACAAAGAG